rnacentral:rRNA from 1 species
AUUGAACGCUGGCGGCAGGCUUAACACAUGCAAGUCGAGCGGGGGAGGUUGCUUCGGUAACUGACCUAGCGGCGGACGGGUGAGUAAUGCUUAGGAAUCUGCCUAUUAGUGGGGGACAACAUUCCGAAAGGGAUGCUAAUACCGCAUACGCCCUACGGGGGAAAGCAGGGGAUCUUCGGACCGUGCGCUAAUAGAUGAGCCUAAGUCGGAUUAGCUAGUUGGGGGGGUAAAGGCCUACCAAGGCGACGAUCUGUAGCGGGUCUGAGAGGCUGAUCCGCCACACUGGGACUGAGACACGGCCCAGACUCCUACGGGAGGCAGCAGUGGGGAAUAUUGGACAAUGGGCGGAAGCCUGAUCCAGCCAUGCCGCGUGUGUGAAGAAGGCCUUUUGGUUGUAAAGCACUUUAAGCGAGGAGGAGGCUCUUAAGGUUAAUACCCUUGAUGAGUGGACGUUACUCGCAGAAUAAGCACCGGCUAACUCUGUGCCAGCCGCCGCCGUAACAC